UUUGUUCAAAGGCUAGAGGGAAGAGUUUAAUAAUCUCUCUCUUGUUGCCAUGAACACCAUCAUCAGAGAUGAUCGGCUCUGCACUCUUGGUUCUUGAUCUGAAACAACAAACCUAGAAAUGUCAAAAAGAGUUGAAUAUACAGCAGAUACCAUUCAGGCCCUUUAAAGGUUUAGAUUACAACCCUGAUAAAACAUUCCUUUAAAGGUUUAGAUUACAACGUUGAUUAAACAUUCUUUUAAAGGUUUAGAUUACAACCCUGAUAAAACAG
ensembl:lncRNA